rnacentral:rRNA from 1 species
AUUGAACGCUGGCGGCAGGCCUAACACAUGCAAGUCGAACGCGUCGCGGACGGGUGUGUUAUGUCUGGGAAACCGUCUGAUGGCGGGGGAUAACCUCUGGAAACUGUAUCUAAUACCGCAAACCAUCAUAUGCCCACAGAUGGGAUUCGCUUGUGGGGGGGGUAACGGCUCAUCAAGGCGACGAUCCCUAGCUGGUCUGAGAGGAUGACCAGCCACACUGGAACUGAUAAACGGUCCAGACUCCUACGGGAGGCAGCAGUGGGGAAUAUUGCACAAUGGGCGCAAGCCUGAUGCAGCCAUGUCGCGUGUGUGAAGAAGGCCUUCGGGUUGUAAAGUACUUUCAGCGGGGAGGCGUUACCCGCAGAAGAAGCACCGGCUAACUCCGUGCCAGCAGCCGCGGUAAUUC